rnacentral:rRNA from 1 species
UACGGAGGGUGCAAACGUUGCUCGGAAUCAUUGGACGUAAAGCGCACGUAGGCGGACUGUUAAGUCGGAUGUGAAAUCCCUCAGCUUAACUGAGGAAGUGCACUCGAAACUGGCAGUCUUGAAUAUGGAAGAGGGUCGCGGAAUUCCCGGUGUAGCAGUGAAAUGCGUAGAUAUCGGGAGGAACAUCCGUGGCGAAGGCGGCCACCUGGACCAGCACUGACACUGAGGCACGAAAGCGUGGGGAGCAAACGGG